rnacentral:rRNA from 1 species
GCUAUUUCUAGAGAUGAAAGUUACUUCGGUACAUCGGUGACAGGUGGUGCAUGGUUGUCGUCAGCUCGUGUCGUGAGGUGUUGGGUUAAGUCCCGCAACGAGCGCAACCCCUAUUGUUAGUUGCCAUCAUUCAGUUGGGCACUCUAGCGAGACUGCCGGUAAUAAACCGGAGGAAGGUGGGGAUGACGUCAAAUCAUCAUGCCCCUUAUGACCUGGGCUACACACGUGCUACAAUGGUUGGUACAACGAGUUGCGAGUCGGUGACGGCGAGCUAAUCUCUUAAAGCCAAUCUCAGUUCGGAUUGUAGGCUGCAACUCGCCUACAUGAAGUCGGAAUCGCUAGUAAUCGCGGAUCAGCACGCCGCGGUGAAUACGUUCCCGGGCCUU